rnacentral:misc_RNA from 1 species
GCAGUUCUUGUUUCUAUGGUUGAGGUAGAUCUUAAUCUUCUAUAAGUGGCACUGGAAUUGUUAUCUUGUUCACCAUUACCAUUGCAUCCUUUAAAUUCAUGAUGCAAGCAACUACUUUUAGUUGCUUUGUUAUGUUGCUUUUGAUCUCAAGUGUGUCAGCAUGUUUUAUAGGAUUGUAUGAGAGGCUUUCUUGAUGUAGUAAUAACUAUAUUUGACAAAAUCCCUGGUCAAUUUUACAUUUUGAUGCUGCAGUCAACUGGUGCAUACA